CGCUAUAAUGCACCUUACAAUUUUGAAAACUUAACUAAUACACGAGUUUUAUUGAUGUAACGACGCUUCAUAAGAUGUCGAUGUAUUAAUAAGAAAGAGGUGUCAAAGUUUUUCAACCAAAUCAAGAUUCCUGUCAUCAACUUCGGCAGCUUCGAAUCUUCAGCAGCUUAUAUGCACGCCGCAAGAUCAUUUUCGUAUUAAAUACGAUACGAAUAUGUUUCGAGAAUUUGUCAAGUAUCCAAGCUGUGUAUGGCAGUUUUAAUCAUGUGAUGCUUGACGGUAUCUUCAAUGUUAACAUAAGUGCUACAGCAAGCAGUUGGAGGUGACCUGGACAUGAAGUUGCUGGUGGUGGAAGACGGGACUCCUAAAGGAAAGUGCUACUGCUCCUGCAACCUGAACAACCAGCCAGUUUUCCUCGAAAUAGACUCCAAUGAUAUGAACGGGGCGUAUCCUUUACUUUGAAAGCGUCUCGCGCUAAUAUAUCAGUCUCCAAAGCAAUUUGUCGAAUUACUGUAAUAUUCUGAAUUAACUGUGGUAAACUUGUCGGAUUAUGUCCAACGUUUCUGCUUCGUCUACCGGAAUAUGUGAAAUAAAAACUUUGUUAUUGUAAA